rnacentral:rRNA from 1 species
UAACUACGUGCCAGCAGCCGCGGUAAUACGUAGGUGGCAAGCGUUAUCCGGAUUUAUUGGGCGUAAAGCGAGCGCAGGCGGUCGUUUUAAGUCUAAUGUGAAAGACCUUCGGCUCAACCCGAAGAAAGUGCAUUGGAAACUGGGAGACUUGAGUGCAGAAGAGGACAGUGGAACUCCAUGUGUAGCGGUGAAAUGCGUAGAUAUAUGGAAGAACACCAGUGGCGAAGGCGGCUGUCUGGUCUGUAACUGACGCUGAGGCUCGAAAGCAUGGGUAGCGAACAGGAUUAGAUACCCUGGUAG